rnacentral:rRNA from 1 species
GAUGAAUGCUGGCGGCGUGCCUAAUACAUGCAAGUCGAGCGAACAGAUGAGGAGCUUGCUCCUCUGACGUUAGCGGCGGACGGGUGAGUAACACGUGGAUAACCUACCUAUAAGACUGGGAUAACUUCGGGAAACCGGAGCUAAUACCGGAUAAUAUAUUGAACCGCAUGGUUCAAUAGUGAAAGACGGUUUUGCUGUCACUUAUAGAUGGACCCGCGCCGCAUUAGCUAGUUGGUAAGGUAACGGCUUACCAAGGCAACGAUGCGUAGCCGACCUGAGAGGGUGAUCGGCCACACUGGAACUGAGACACGGUCCAGACUCCUACGGGAGGCAGCAGUAGGGAAUCUUCCGCAAUGGGCGAAAGCCUGACGGAGCAACGCCGCGUGAGUGAUGAAGGUCUUCGGAUCGUAAAACUCUGUUAUUAGGGAAGAACAAAUGUGUAAGUAACUAUGCACGUCUUGACGGUACCUAAUCAGAAAGCCACGGCUAACUACGUG